rnacentral:lncRNA from 1 species
AAAAAAAAAAAAAACAAUUCCUCAAAAUUCNNNNNNNNNNNNNNNNNNNNNNNNNNNNNNNNNNNNNNNNNNNNNNNNNNNNNNNNNNNNNNNNNNNNNNNNNNNNNNNNNNNNNNNNNNNNNNNNNNNNCAAAUUUGGGGUUUUUUAAAAAAAAAAAAAUAUUUUUUAAAAAAAUUUUUUUUUUUCCUAAAAGGAACUUUGAAAUUUUUUUUUUUUUUUUUUUCAUGGGAACUUGUUUUUUCAAGAGGCGAGUUCCCCUUUGGAGGAAAUGUUUUUUUUUUUUUUUUUUUAAUAAAUAUAUUUAAAAAAAAAGUAUUUUUUUUUUUUACAUGGGAACUCGUCUUUUCAAGAGACGAGUUCCCUUUGGAAUUGUUUUUUUUUUUUUUUUAAUUUAGGAUUUUUAAAAUUUAAAAAUAUAUUUAAAAAAAAAUAUUUUUUUCCUAAAGGAACUCGUCUCUUGAAUAGACGAGUUCCCUUUAGGAAAUUUUUUUUUUCAAAUAUAUAUAUAUAUUUUUAAAAAAAAUAUUUUUUUUACAUGGGAACUCGUCUCUUGAAAAGACGAGUUCCCUUUGGAAUUGUGUUUUUUUUUUUUUUUUUUUUUUUUUUAAUUUGGGAUUUUUUAAAAUAAAAAAUAUAUUUAAAAAAAAUAUUUUAAAAAAAAAUAUUUUUUUUUCCAAGGAACUCGUCUCCCUUUAGGAAUUUUUUUUUUUAAAUAAAAAAUAUAUUUUAAAUAAAUAAUAUAUAUUUUUUCCUAUGGGAACUCAUCUCUUCAGACGAGUUCCCUUUAGUUCCAAAUUUUUUUUUUAAUUUGUGAAUUUUUUAAAAAUAUAUAUAUAUAUAUUUUUUUAAUUGGAACUCGUCUCUUGAAGAGACGAGUUUCCUUGAAUAAUUCUCUUUCAUGGAACUCGUCUCUUCAAGAGACGAGUUCAAGAGACGAGUUCGCUUUUUUAAAAAUUUUUAUUCCUUCACCCUCUCUCCUCUCUCCUAUCUCCUCUCUCCUCUCUCCUCUCUCUCACCCUCUCUCCUCUCUACUAUGUGGCAAAAACUACCCUAUAUUUGUAAUAACUUCUUCCACUACAGUAAUUUAAGAAUAACUUUUUUAAAUUAAUGCACUAUUGAGAAAAGUCCAUUGUUCUUCAACUUUAGCCUUUUUUUGUAUUGCCACUAACCACUAAAUAGGCGGAUUUUAGAAAAUGAAUACAGUAUUUUUAAAAAUAUGAUAAUUAAAAAAUUAUUUCCAAUUCCAUGACAAUUUGUAUGAUUUUUUUUUUUAAAUACAUCAUUGGAAAACACAAGAUAACGACGUCGUUCGAAGCAGAACUGUAAGGCGCCCUUCGGCCGAGCAUCGACUCUCUUCACUGCAAUCGGUGGCUUUUGCGGUCUCUCUCUAGCUCUAGGUAUCAGAUCUCUUCGUUUAUUAGAAUUUUUCUUUGUUUGUUUGAUGAGAAACUGAAAGAAAAUGAGAUGGAUGGAAUGUUCUGAAUCUUAAAGUUUUCAUCAUUUACACCUGGUGGAAACAGAAUCUUCCCCUAAAUUAGCGUUGUAUACGUAUUUAGCUGAAUUUAGAAUUUUCAAUUUCUUUUCUUUUCCUUAAUUUUAUCAGCAUCCAAGCAGUCAUUUAGGGUUUUUCUGGCUUGAGAUAUUGGCAUUUGAUCUAUUUGAUUUUUAUUCUUGUUCAGAAAAAUGUAAAUAUAUUUGCUAAAGAAUUAGAAUAACCAAAAAUUGAUCGUCUUAAUUCACAUCCAUAUUUAGCGUUGUUGGGUGAAUUCAUCAAUAAGGAAAAAUGCAGUUCUUUGGAGGGUCGGAGAUCAGCCCAUUGCCGCCGCUGCCAACAGCAUCGGGAAACAAUGGCCACAUGAUGUAUGUGUUUAACAGGAAUGGGGUGUGCUUGCUUCACAGGAAUGGAAUCGCCCUCUUAGGACUCUGAAUGCCCAGCAAGACCAUAAGCUCAUGUUUGGUCUGCUUUUCUCUCUUAAGUCCUUAACAGCUGAGAUGGAUCCCACUGAGUAUAUCUUCUUCCUAGUCUUUGAUUCGAAUUGGAACUGUUUUCGGGGAAAUGGAAUUACUUGAUUUUGUAUUUGGAUAACUUUUGAAAGCAUAAAUUCAUUGUUUGGAAUAGAAUUAUGACAUAUAUGUAAGAAGAAAGAAAUCAGGAUGAGCAAAAGGACAUAAUUUGAACUGAUAAAUUCAAACUCGGGAUGAUUAAAAAAAACAUGGAAAACAAGGUUGCCAAAUUUAUUUGCAAUUACAAACACCAUCCGAGUAGUUUAUACUUCACGUCAUCCAGCAACCGAAAAUAAGCAUGUCUCCAAGCUCUGUUGAAUGCUAAUGGAGCCAAAAUGGCCCAAAAGCCAACCACGAAACCCCAUGGCAUACCCAAAUAGAACCAUUUCAUAUCAAUCCAUCCAUUGUCCGGAAUUGGACCUUUUGGUUUACCAUCUUCACCACAAUCAUCAGUCAGUGGAGCUCCACAAAGCUCCGGGUUGCCAAUGAAACUGAGGGCACUAAAGCCUUGGAUCUGGGUGCCUGAUGGAAUUUUGCCAGACAAGUUGUUGUAUGACAAAUUUAAACUGCUCAAAAAUGAUAUAUUUGCCAUACCUUGAGGAAUAACACCAGAGAGUCCAUUCAUGGAGAGAUCAAGAGACUCCAGUGAUGUCAUGGCCCCAAUCUUCACAGGAAUCUUCCCUUGGAGAUGGUUAUUAGACAGGUUCAAGAAUAUCAAACCAUGGAGAUCUGUGAGUUCUUCUGGGAUCUCACCAGAUAACUUAUUGCUUGAGAGGUCCAUGCCAGCUAGGAGGCCAAGUGUUUUGUCGUACUCAUACUCUAUUCCUUUCAUAACCAGUGUUGCUGUGUCGGUUGAUCCCGAUUCAAAAUGUUCAUUAUGAAAACGAAAGGGGGAACUUGAAUUCAAUUCUUUGAUCAUGCUGCUGAAAUUACCAAAGCAUCUAGGAAUGGUUCCCGAGAGAUUGUUGUUUCCCAAGUCCAAGAUUUGAAGGGAAUGAAGGUGGCAGAGUUCAAGAGGAAUACUUCCAGUGAACUUAUUUGAAUGCAGGACAAGAACCAUUAGACCCGGUGUAUAUCCAAUCUCACCAACCCCUGGAAAUAUUUCAAUGAAGUUCCCCAUCCAUGCUGGUAUCGUCCCAGUGAAUUCAUUCUUACUAAGGUCUAGAACCAGUAGACUAGAGCAAUUUUUCAAUGGAAGUGGAAAAUUUCCGGAGAGAUGGUUGUUGCGCAAGUGCAAUGAACCGAGCCAAAUUAGAGAACCCAUGGAGCUAGGUAUAUGUCCCGUCAGAUUAUUAUUUCCCAAUUUUAACAUCAUCAAUUCUCUCCAAUACAUCCAACAAUUGGGAAGUUCUCCUGACAGAAGAUUUCCUGAGAUGUCUAGAUACCACAAUAAAUUUACUUUUUUAGUUCUCCGACACAACAUAGGUGAAAGAGAUCCACGGAAUAAAUUAUUGGAGAGGUCUAGUUCUUCUACAUCAGAAGAGAUUGGGGGCAGUGGACCAGUGAAAUUGUUUGAGCUGAGAUAGAUACAGGAUGAAUGUAAACUUGGAAUACUACCAAUGAUUUGGUUGUGAGAUAGAUCUACAAAAUAAUAGGGUCGUGUCCAAAACCAAGCUGGGAUGACACUGGAGAUUCCUGCAUAGGACAUGUUUAGAUAGUCCAAAUACUUCUGUGUUUGAAGCCAUGCAGGAAAUUGAGGCCCUAGAAGGCAAGAACCCAAGUCUAAGUCUGUGAGUUGAAAAGGAGGAGUCCAGUUGGAGCUGACUUGCAAAGUUAACAAGUUUGAAGAUGCAUCCAAUUGUUUUAAACUUGUUAGAUUGGCAAGGUGCUUUUCAGAUAUAAUACCCUCGAAGAAGUUUUCCCUAAUCUUUAGAUAACGCAAGGAUGAAAUUCCUCCUAAUGAGAUAGGAAUAUGACCAGAAAACGAGUUUCCAUCAAUAGAAAGAGAGGACAAACUUUUGAAUUGGCCAAGUUCAUUGGGCAAAUGACCUGAAAGCCGAUUUUUUGCCAGGUUUAAAUGUUCUAAACUUUUACAUUCUCCAAGAGUAUCUGGAAAAGAACCUGAAAGCUUAUUUCCUCUCAAGCUUAAAAACUCUAGACCUUUUCGAGGCCUAUCAUAUGAAGAAUUCGAAAGUUGAAAACUACAAAGAUUUCCAAGAGAUCUCAGCACGUCUCCUUCAAGAGCAUUGUUUGAUAGGUAAAGAUAUGUGAUAGAAGUGAGAUUUCCAAUAUCAUUUGGAAGCAUACCAUGAAAAUAGUUAUGUGUAAGAUCGAGGUAUUCAAGGCUAGUUAUAUGAUAUAACCAAUCAGGAAUAGGAGAAGCAAAAUUGUUAUAGGAAAGAUCUAGGAAUUUAAGAGAAGUCAUGUUACGAAGACCUGAUGGAAUUGGACCAUGAAUAUUACUGUAUGCUAGAUUAAGAGUAACAAGAGAAUUAAGAUUAGCAAACCAAUCAAAUGAUGAAGACAUAAAAUAAUUACUUGAAAGGUCAAGGAUGACUAAGGAUGAAAAAUUGACAUGCGGGAGAGGGUCAAAAGUAUCAAGCUCACAAUAAGACAAGCGUAGCACAGAUAAAGAAUGAAACUUAUUCAUUACCUGUAGCCAAUUUGAUGCCUUGCUUAGGUUCACAUUUGCCAUGUCAAGGAAUUUUAGGAAGGUAAGACCAGAAAUCCACUCAAGAUCCUCAACAUUCAAAGAAUCAGAAUUCCCAAUGUCAAGAUAAUGCAACUUGGAUAAAUUUCCAAGUUGAUGAGGAAUAACACCACCAAAACCUGCACUAGAGAGGUUAAGAUAUCUUAAAUUGGAUAGGGAACCAAGGAAUUUUGGAAUAUGAAGGCUCCCAAAGUCAUUGCAGCUCAGGUCCAAGUAUUGAAGAUGCUUCAAGUCCAACAAAGAACUACUUAUUUCACCACCCAGAGAACCAUGAUCUUGAUAAAGAUCCCAUCGGAGGUUGAGCUUGAGAACAUGUCCUGUU